rnacentral:rRNA from 1 species
CCCUUAGAUGUUCUGGGCCGCACGCGUGCUACACUGAGUGGAUCAGCGGGUCAGGUUGCGCGAAAGUGUUUCCUAAUCUGGAAAUCCGCUCGUGAUGGGGAUUGACGGUUGCAAUUUUCCGUCAUGAACGAGGAAUACCUUGUAAGCGCGGGUCAUCAUCCCGCGCUGAAUACGUCCCUGCCCUUUGUACACACCGCCCGUCGCUCCUACCGAUUGAGUGGUCCGGUGAGGCUUUGGGAUCUGAGCGGAAAGAGCGUUUCGCUGUUUCUGCUCGGAAAACUCAGUCGAACCUUAUCAUUUAGAGGAAGGAGAAGUCGUAACA